CCUCCUCCAUAAUUCUGGUACCUGGACGAGCUCGCCAUUUUGAAUACCCUAAUCAACUAAUAUGUAGAAGAUCUUAAGAAAAAAGGAUUUAAUGAUUAACGGAUUCACGGAAACACCGAAACUUUCUCGCAUCCAACGCGUCUUACGACACGCUAGAAGUAAUUUUAAGACGGAUUACACUUAGAGACUAAUUUUAACAGCAUGUUUCAACUUUUCCUUAUAACGAUUCCCUGGAAUCAUAGUUUCUUAUUCUUCCCCUUUUUGUCGACGGAAUGUGAGUCAUUAAGAUAUUCGUCAGUGCGUGAUGAAACAAGAAGAACGCAGCUGCAACUGAGCAGCAACUGUCUCGACUCUGUCGAAGCAUAUUUUCACGCAAACAUUAAUUUCUCGAUGAUUGCUACAAAGACGACUGU
rnacentral:misc_RNA from 1 species